ACACACACACACUCUCUCUCUCUCUCUCUCUCUCUCUCUCGACACUUCGAAAAUCUCCACUGUCUCCCAUGUCAGCCAAAACCCAUCUCAGUCUCCAAACCUCGCUGCAACAACCAUCUCACCAAAUACUCCCACCUCUUCUCUGCCAAAUACGUCCCUUUCAACCAUCUCACCAAACCUCCGACGAGUCCUACUCCGUCGACAAAAUCGUGUACCGCUAAACGUCCAGCAUGAUAUCGCCGCUCUCGAAAUCAUGUAGCUAUAGCUCCAGAGAGAGCCAUUGGCCCAAUCAGACGAGCGAAAGGAGGUUGGAUUGCACAGGAGGUGGUGAACGAUCUGAAGGGUAUCUUAUGCAAUUUUAUUCUUUCAAGCCAAGUGGGUAUUGAGAGAGGAGAAUUGUCUAGGAGUGAUGAGAAAAAAUAUAAAGCAGUGAAGUGGGCAACUGAAAGGGAGAUUUCUCAAAGUGCUGAUGUCAUUUGUUGCACGUGUUGGUGCUGGAGAUCCUUGAUUGGCAAAUUUUAGGUUCCACCAGAUUGAAAUGCAUCAAACUUGUGAAAGUUUGUCCAGGACUCACUAGUUUAAAAGCUUACUCUUUUUAACUUUUUGUUUUGAGAAAGCACCGACAAAAGUCAACAGUAAAAUCUUGCAUUUUUCGAAAAAACGUAGGCUUGCGACUAGCUACUACUGAAUUUUAUUUCUACUUGCUGCCAUGCUCAGCGAAGGACGAGUUUAGAAGUAGUUUGCAAAUCCCAAUAAUAGCAGAGUGCAUAGUUUGGAAGUUAAGGGAAAAAAGGUAUCGAUUUGUGUGUUGCUUUGUAUUGAGGGUAAUGGCAAAGAAAGCUUAGUUGCUGAAGGACUUUUAAGGUUGAAGUGGAAGCAAUUUGGUGAUUGCUGAAAGAGCUUAUAGGUGUUUUGAUUGUCCCACCUUGCACGUUAGAGGUUUUGCCUAGUGUUUUCAUAUUUUUAUUUUAACUUUAAUAUCAUUGCUUUCAUGUCUACUUUGAUGAUUUUGAAUUGUUAUAGGCGUGGAUAAUAGAAAAAAUACAAUGAUUAGCAUUGGUAGACACAUACUAAUAUGUCAAUAUAAUUAAUUUAAAAUUUUGGAUAAACACUUCAAUUGAAACUUAGUUGAAACAGAAGUUAUAGAUCCAGUAUGUAUUCUGUGAAUGCCUAUUUCUGUUUAAUUUGUGUGACAAAUUGGUUAGUAGGUAGUCUUGCUGAGUGAACUAGCUUCAUGAGAAACAUGAGAGAGGAGGGGCUGAUCUCAGGGAUCUCCACUGUGAAGGUGGUGAUGGCCGGUGAGAAGCUGAGCUCUU